rnacentral:rRNA from 1 species
GUAGGUGGCAAGCGCUGUCCGGAAUUAUUGGGCGUAAAGCGCGCGCAGGCGGUUCUUUAAGUCUGAUGUGAAAGCCCACGGCUCAACCGUGGAGGGUCAUUGGAAACUGGAGAACUUGAGUACAGAAGAGGAAAGCGGAAUUCCACGUGUAGCGGUGAAAUGCGUAGAGAUGUGGAGGAACACCAGUGGCGAAGGCGGCUUUCUGGUCUGUAACUGACGCUGAGGCGCGAAAGCGUGGGGGAGCAAACAGGAUUAGAUACCCUGGUAGUCCACGCCGUAAACGAUGAGUGCUAAGUGUUAGGGGGUUUCCGCCCCUUAGUGCUGCAGCUAACGCAUUAAGCACUCCGCCUGGGAGUACGGCCGCAAGGCUG